rnacentral:snRNA from 1 species
GUAGUAUACUGACUAAAGCAGUGGUCAAUUUGAAACGAUACAGAGAAGAUUAGCAUGGCCCCUGCACUAAGGAUGACACGCUCAAUCAAAGAGAAGCUACCAAUUUUA